CUAAUACUCCUUUCGUUCCAUAUUAAGUGACUCAAAGUUGCCUAAAUAUGAAUGUAUCUAUGCUUAAAAAACGUCUAGAUACAUUUAAUAGAAAGUCAUUUAAUAUGAGACGGAGGGAAUACAAG
rfam:Brachypodium distachyon strain Bd21 chromosome 3, whole genome shotgun sequence.